CCUUUGACGUUAGCGGCGGACGGGUGAGUAACACGUGGGUAACCUACCUAUAAGACUGGGAUAACUUCGGGAAACCGGAGCUAAUACCGGAUAAUAUUUCGAACCGCAUGGUUCGAUAGUGAAAGGUGGUUUUGCUAUCACUUAUAGAUGGACCCGCACCGUAUUAGCUAGUUGGUAAGGUAACGGCUUACCAAGGCGACGAUACGUAGCCGACCUGAGAGGGUGAUCGGCCACACUGGAACUGAGACACGGUCCAGACUCCUACGGGAGGCAGCAGAC
rnacentral:rRNA from 1 species